rnacentral:rRNA from 1 species
CCUACGGGGGACAGCAGUGAGGAAUAGUGGUCAAUGGACGAGAGUCUGAACCAGCCAAGUAGCGUGAAGGAUGACUGCCCUAUGGGUUGUAAACUUCUUUUAUAGGGGAAUAAAAUGUUCCACGUGUGGGAGUUUGUAUGUACCAUAUGAAUAAGGAUCGGCUAACUCCGUGCCAGCCGCGUCGGUAAUACGGAGGAUCCGAGCGUUAUCCGGAUUUAUUGGGUUUAACGGGAGCGUCGGUGGAUUGUUAAGUCAGUUGUGAACGUUUGCGGCUCAACCGUCAAAUUGCAGUUGAUACGGGCAGUCUUUCUUACAGUUGACGUGGGCGGCCUUCGUGUUGUAGCGGUGAACUUCUUAGCUCUCAC